AUACUCACUUCAGCAGCACAUAUACUAAAAUUGGAAUGACACAAAGAUUAUCAUGGCCCCUGCUCAGGGAUGACACACAAAUUCGUGAAGCAUUCCAUAUUUUU